rnacentral:tRNA from 1 species
GCCUGGGUGGCUCAGUGGUUGAGCAUCUGCCUUUAGCUCAGGUAGUGAUCCCAGGGUCUUGGGAUCGAGUCCCAUAUCAGGUU